AUUGAACGCUGGCGGCAUGCCUUACACAUGCAAGUCGAACGGUAACGGGCCUUCGGGUGCCGACGAGUGGCGCACGGGUGAGUAAUACAUCGGAACGUGCCCGAUCGUGGGGGAUAACGAGGCGAAAGCUUUGCUAAUACCGCAUACGAUCUACGGAUGAAAGCAGGGGGCCGCAAGGCCUUGCGCGGACGGAGCGGCCGAUGGCAGACUAGGUAGUUGGUGGGGUAAAAGCUUACCAAGCCGACGAUCUGUAGCUGGUCUGAGAGGAUGAUCAGCCACACUGGGACUGAGACACGGCCCAGACUCCUACGGGAGGCAGCAGUGGGGAAUUUUGGACAAUGGGCGCAAGCCUGAUCCAGCCAUGCCGCGUGCAGGAUGAAGGCCUUCGGGUUGUAAACUGCUUUUGUACGGAACGAAAAGCCUUCUUUUAAUACAGGAGGGUCAUGACGGUACCGUAAGAAUAAGCACCGGCUAACUACGUG
rnacentral:rRNA from 1 species